CCCCUCUCAGGGUGGCACCUGGAGAGUUUCCAGUCCUCUACCAGUCUCGAUUAUGGGAGGGAGAGCCAAGCGGAGGCCUGUCCGUUCCAUUCCUAGCUUGCGCAGGGGCUAGCGAGUGGAAGGCCAUCAGCUACAAGU